GACGAACGCUGGCGGCAGGCUUAACACAUGCAAGUCGAACGAGUGGCGGACGGGUGAGUAAUGCUUGGGAAUCUAGCUUAUGGAGGGGGCUAACUACGGGAAACUGUCGCUAAUACCGCGUACCAUAGGAUGAGCCCAAGGGGGAUUAGGUAGUUGGGGAGGUAAAGGCUCACCAAGCCGAAGAUCUAUAGCUGGUCUGAGAGGAUGACCAGCCACACUGGGACUGAGACACGGCCCAGACUCCUACGGUAGUCAGCAGUGGGGAAUAUUGCGCAAUGGGGGCAACCUGACGCAGCCAUGCCGCGUGAAUGAAGAGGGCCUUCGGGUUGUAAAGUUCUUUCGGUAGCGAGGCGUUAACUACAGAAGAAGCACCGGCUAACUCCGUGCCAGCAGCCGCGGUAAUAC
rnacentral:rRNA from 1 species